GACGAACGCUGCGGCGUGCUUAACACAUGCAAGUCGAACGGGAUGAUCUUAAAGCUUGCUUUUAGAGAAUCUAGUGGCAAACGGGUGAGUAACACGUAGGCAACCUGCCGACAGGAUGGGGACAACAUUCCGAAAGGAAUGCUAAUACCGAAUGAAGCGCAGGAGAGGCAUCUCUCCUGCGUGAAAGAUGGCCUCUGAAUAUGCUAUCACCUGUCGAUGGGCCUGCGUCUGAUUAGCUGGUUGGUGAGGUAACGGCUCACCAAGGCGACGAUCAGUAGCCGGUCUGAGAGGAUGAACGGCCACAUUGGGACUGAGACACGGCCCAGACUCCUACGGGGGCAGCAGUGGGGAAUCUUCCGCAAUGGGCGCAAGCCUGACGGAGCAACGCCGCGUGAGUGAAGAAGGUCUUCGGAUCGUAAAGCUCUGUUGAUGGGGACGAACGUGCGAAGGGUGAAUAAUCCUUUGUAAUGACGGUACCUGUCGAGGAAGCC
rnacentral:rRNA from 1 species